UACAGAGGGUGCGAGCGUUAAUCGGAAUUACUGGGCGUAAAGCGCGCGUAGACGGUUUGGUAAGUCAGAUGUGAAAUCCCUGGGCUCAACCUGGGAACUGCAUUUGAUACUGCCUGGCUAGAGUAUGGAAGAGGGAAGUGGAAUUUCCGGUGUAGCGGUGAAAUGCGUAGAUAUCGGAAGGAACACCAGUGGCGAAAGCGACUUCCUGGUCCAAUACUGACGUUCAUGUGCGAAAGCGUGGGGAGCAAACAGG
rnacentral:rRNA from 1 species